rnacentral:rRNA from 1 species
AUGUAUUUGGAUUUAAAGGAAACAUUCUGGUGGAGAGUAAAGGCAGAGCAUCAGAAGCCAGCAGGAUUGUUACAACCAUUGCCGAUACCCGAAUGGAAGUGGGAUAAGAUAGGCAUGGAUUUUAUCACGGGAUUACCAAGGACUCGUUCAGGCUAUGCCUCGAUUUGGGUUGUAGUUGAUCGAUUGACGAAAGUAGCACAUUUCAUCCCAGUAAAGACCACUUACACCAGGGCUAAGUUGGCAAAGAUAUACAUGACUAGAAUCAUUUGUUUGCAUGGAGUUCCGAGGAGUAUUGUAUCAGAUAGAGGAACCCAAUUUACUUCAAAGUUUUGGAAUCAGUUGCAUGAAACUUUAGGAACCAGACUGGAGUUCAGCACAGCUUUUCACCCACAGACGGAUGGACAGACCGAGAGAGUGAAUCAGAUUUUGGAGGAUAUGCUGAGAGCUUGUGCACUAGAUUAUGGAUCUAGUUGGGACGAUAACUUGCCGUAUGCGGAGUUUUCUUAUAACAACAGUUACCAAACCAGUUUGAAGACGGCACCUUUCGAAGCUUUAUACGGAAGGAGGUGCAGAAACCGUUGUCAUGGGACGAAGUUGGAGACUGUCAAUUCUUUGGACCAGAUUUGA